ACCUGGGUGGCUCAGGCUUUAAGCAUCUGACUUUGGCUCAGGUCCUGAUCUCACAGUUUGUGAGUUCAAGUCCCACAUCGGGUG
rnacentral:tRNA from 1 species